AUACUUACCUGGCAGGGGAGAUCCCAUCAUGACAAGGGUGGUUUUCCCAGGGCAAGGCUUAUCCAUGACACUCCAGAUGUGCUGACCCCUGCCAUUCCCCCAAACGUGGGAAACUUGACUGCGUAGUUUGUGGUAGUGGUGGACUGCAUUCGUGUUCUCGCCUG
ensembl:snRNA U1 U1 spliceosomal RNA